GAGUUUGAUCCUGGCUCAGGAUGAACGCUGGCGGCGUGCCUAAUACAUGCAAGUCGAACGAGAUUUUAUUAAUUGAUUACUUCGGUAUGAUUUUUCUAAAAUCGAGUGGCGGAUGGGUGAGUAACACGUGGGUAACCUGCCCUUAAGUAGGGGAUAACAUUUGGAAACAGAUGCUAAUACCGUAUAAAUCUCAGAAACACAUGUUUCUGAGCUGAAAGGCGGCUUUCGAGCUGUCGCUUUUGGAUGGACCCGCGGCGUAUUAGCUAGUUGGUGAGGUAAAGGCUCACCAAGGCAGUGAUACGUAGCCGACCUGAGAGGGUGAUCGGCCACAUUGGGACUGAGACACGGCCCAAACUCCUACGGGAGGCAGCAGUAGGGAAUCUUCCACAAUGGACGAAAGUCUGAUGGAGCAACGCCGCGUGAGUGAAGAAGGUUUUCGGAUCGUAAAACUCUGUUGUUGGAGAAGAACACGUUUGAGAGUAACUGUUCAGACGUUGACGGUAUCCAACCAGAAAGCCACGGCUAACUACGUGCCAGCAGCCGCGGUAAUACGUAGGUGGCAAGCGUUAUCCGGAUUUAUUGGGCGUAAAGCGAGCGCAGGCGGUUUUUUAAGUCUGAUGUGAAAGCCUUCGGCUUAACCGAAGAAGUGCAUCGGAAACUGGGAAACUUGAGUGCAGAAGAGGACAGUGGAACUCCAUGUGUAGCGGUGAAAUGCGUAGA
rnacentral:rRNA from 1 species